rnacentral:rRNA from 1 species
AAUAUUGGACAAUGGGGGCAACCCUGAUCCAGCCAUGCCGCGUGAGUGACGAAGAUCUUCGGGUCGUAAACUCCUUUCGAUCGAGACGAACGGCCUCCGGGUGAAUAAUCCGGAGGAGUGACGGUACCGAGAGAAGAAGCCCCGGCUAACUCCGUUCCAGCAGCCGCGGUAAUACGAAGGGGGCUAGCGUUGCUCGGAAUCACUGGGCGUAAAGCGCACGUAGGCGGCUUCUUAAGUCAGGGGUGAAAUCCUGGAGCUCAACUCCAGAACUGCCUUUGAUACUGAGAAGCUUGAGUCCGGGAGAGGUGAGUGGAACUGCGAGUGUAGAGGUGAAAUUCGUAGAUAUUCGCAAGAACACCAGUGGCGAAGGCGGCUCACUGGCCCGGUACUGACGCUGAGGUGCGAAAGCGUGGGGAGCAAAC